CAGUCGCCGCGGUAAUACGGAGGGUGCAAGCGUUAAUCGGAAUCACUGGGCGUAAAGCGCACGCAGGCGGUCUGACAAGUCAGAUGUGAAAUCCCCGGGCUUAACCUGGGAACUGCAUUUGAAACUGUCAGGCUGGAGUCUUGUAGAGGGGGGUGGAAUUCCAGGUGUAGCGGUGAAAUGCGUAGAGAUCUGGAGGAAUACCGGUGGCGAAGGCGGCCCCCUGGACAAAGACUGACGCUCAGGUGCGAAAGCGUGGGGAGCAAACAGGAUUAGAUACCCGCGUAGUCCCUGUCUCUUAUAC
rnacentral:rRNA from 1 species